UCUCUAUUCUGUUCCAUUGAUCUGUACAUCUGUUUUUACGCCAGUACCAUACUGUUUUGAUUACUAUGAUCUCAGGCUGCCUGACUGUGAAGAUUGACCCUGGCCAGAGUGUAUGAGCUGCUGUGCUGGUGCUGACCAAAUAAAAUGAAAUUCCCCUCAGCAGGGUCUGGAACCUGUCGAGAUCUCCCUUUGGAUAUGCCACUUGUGAAGCUAAUUGGAUCCUGCUCUGAUGUCUGAAGCUGGCCACUGGUUAUUUGCAGGUGCUCCUCAAGUAAUCGUCUAUUUUGACCACUUUGUCAAACCACCCUGGACACCCCUCCCCACUCCCCAAAAGAGGACAUAGAAGGAAGGCAGACAUCUACCAGCCAGGAAGAGAGGCCUCACAGAAGCCAGCUCUGGUGCACCUUAACCUUGGACUUCCAGCCCCCAGGACUGUGUGAAAAUAAAGAAUUGCUGUUUAAACCACCCAGUAUGUGGUAUUUUGUAAUGGCAGCCUGCUAAUAUAAUCAUCUAUGUGUGGGCUUGUUUCUGCCUCAGAAAUAGUCUGUUGAGUUUCAUUUAUUUGUUUAUCUAUUUUGAUACCAGUUACCACACUGCCUUGAUGAAUGGAGCUUUGUAGUAAGUUUCUUUUCAAAAUUGCUUCACCCUU